rnacentral:rRNA from 1 species
UAUUGGUCAAUGGACGCGAGUCUGAACCAGCCAAGUAGCGUGAAGGAUGACUGCCCUAUGGGUUGUAAACUUCUUUUAUAUGGGAAUAAUGUUUUCCACGUGUGGAAUUUUGUAUGUACCAUAUGAAUAAGGAUCGGCUACCUCAGUUCCAGCAGCCGCGGGAAUACGGAGGAUCCGAGCGUUAUCCGGAUUUAGUGGGUUUAAAGGGAGCGUAGGUGGACAGUUAAGUCAGUUGUGAAAGUUUGCGGCUCAACCGUAAAAUUGCAGUUGAGACUGGCUGUCUUGAGUACAGUAGAGGUGGGCGGAAUUCGUGGUGUAGCGGUGAAAUGCUUAGAUAUCACGAAGAACUCCGAUUGCGAAGGCAGCUCACUGGACUGUUGACUAACACUGAGGCUCGAAAGUGUGGGUAUCAAACA